ensembl:lncRNA
GCCUCAUACAACCCAGGGUUACUGUGUUGACUUUUACACAAUUGGAUCCUUGCAACAGUUUUUAUUAAACGCUGCAAUGGGAUCCAAUGCUAUCUCUGAAUAUUUGUUAGAAUGUUGAUCUGCACAUGGUCAUGUGCACUCACAGCAUUAUUGAUGAUGUUCUCCACUUGGGUGUAGGUGUCGUUCCUGAGGUCAGGGUUCUUAGACAUGCUGAUGUUACUGAUGCUUAAUGUGAAGUUGACUGCAUAGGAGGUGUCUGAAAUUUCUGUGGAACAAAUCAAAUGUCCAUAAGAAUGUUUUAGCUCCCAUAUGGAUAGGACAAUGAUGUGAAGAGUUGUAGCUGUAAUAUGUAUUAGUAAAGAAAACAUACUCUCGUAGGUGAAGUUCAGCACUUUUACAGAGUCAGAGAGGUUUGUGAGUCGAGCACUGAGAAGAGUCUGGAUCGCACUGAGGACCAAACUCUCACUGGGAACAGGAGAGGAGGAAUUGAAGACCAUCCUGGUCUGAAC